CCUUUGAGAGUUCAGUUUGUAGAGUGGAGGACUGUCGGUGCUGAAAUGGCAACCCUUAGGUCUCUGGUUCAAAUCUGGCUCGAAGGA